rnacentral:rRNA from 1 species
UCGAGAAUCUUCGGCAAUGAGCGCAAGCUUGACCGAGCGACGCCGCGUGCGGGAUGAAGGCCUUCGGGUUGUAAACCGCGAAAGUAGGGAGGAAAUCGCUGGGGGUUCUCCCCCAGUGUUGACCUAUCUUCAGUAAGGACGGGCUAAGUUCGUGCCAGCAGUCCGCGGUAGUACGAACCGUUCCAAACGUUAUUCGGAUUUAUUGGGCUUAAAGGGGUAUGUAGGCGGCCCUUUCAAGUCGGGUGUGAAAGCCCUCGGCUCAACCGAGGAACUGCGCCCGAUACUGUGGGGCUCGAGGGAGACAGACGGUAAGCGGAACUGAUGGUGGAGCGGUGAAAUGCGUUGAUAUCAUCAGGAACACCAGUGGCGAAAGCGGCUUACUGGGUCUCUUCUGUACGCUGAGAUACGAAAGCUAGGGAGCGAACGGGAUUAGAUACCCGGUAGUCCUAGCUGUAAACGAUGAGUCACUUGAUCGAGGGCCCCCA